GCGCGGGGCGGGCCAUAGGGGACGGCGCCGCGGAGGCGACAGGCUCCAGGCCGGGCCGAAGUUCUGGUUCCGCUGAGCGCCCCGCCCCGCGCCCAGGUUAACAUUACAUGGAGGUUCCACCAAGAGCCAGAGAAGACCCUUGACAACUCUGAGGCUGGGGAGCGAACAGGUGCUGGUACCCACAGAGCCCAGUGAGCUCACUGCUUUCUCAACGACCCUGGAGUUUGAGGGCCUGUGCGUGCACCCCACCUCGGCACAGCCAUGGCCGGGGUCAGCAUCAACGAGCUGCCCGAGAGCAUCCUGCUGGAGGUGUUCAUGCACCUGCCCGCCCGCCAGCUGCUGCUGAACUGCCGCCCUGUCUGCAGUCUCUGGCGCGACAUCAUUGACCUCGUGACCCUCUGGAAGCGAAAAUGCCUGCGUGAGGGCUUCGUCACCGAGGACUGGGACCAGCCCGUGGCCGACUGGAAGGUCUUUUUCUUUCUGUGCAGCCUUCGCAGGAACCUCCUGCGCAACCCAUGUGCUGAAGAGGAUAUGACGUCCUGGCAAAUCGACUCCAAUGGGGGGGACCACUGGAAGGUGGAGCGCCUCCCCGGACCUCAUGGCACAGAGUUUCCUGACUCCAAAGUCAAGAAGUACUUUGUCACGUCCUAUGAAAUGUGUCUCAAGUCCCAGCUGAUAGACCUCAAAGCCGAGGGCUACUGGGAGGAGCUACUGGACACCUUCCGGCCGGACAUCGUGGUUAAGGACUGGUUCGCCGCCAGGGCAGACUGUGGCUGCACCUACCACAUCCGAGUACAGCUGGCCUCGGCCGACUACAUCAUCCUAGCCUCCUUUGAGCCCCCGCCUGUGACCAUCCAUCAGUGGAACGAUGCCAGGUGGACAGAGGUCUCCCACACCUUCUCGGAUUACCCUCCAGGUGUCCGCCACAUCCUCUUCCAGCACGGGGGCAAGGACACCCAGUUCUGGGCAGGCUGGUACGGGCCCCGUGUCACCAACAGCAGCAUCGUCAUCAGCCAUAAGAUGACCAGGAACCCGGCCCCCUCCACGGCUCACCCCUAGACCCUGCAGGGGCCGGAGGAGGCUACCCACCUGCCUUCCCCACUCCAUCUCCACAGGCCCUUCUGACAGCCUGUCAUCUGACAGCCAUUCAUCCGUCCUCUGUCCCGGCCAGUGGAGUGCCAAAGGUUGCCUCCAGGCAAGAGCUGAGCCUAUAGUGGGCAGCAAGUCCCUCCGCGGCCCUCAGACUUCAGGGAGCAUCCGAAUCGCCAGGGAACCGCUGGCAGUGCCGAUUCCCAGGUUCGUCCACCAGACAGGCUGAGACUGGAGACCCAAGGUGGGCUGGGAACCCAAGUGAUUUAACAAGCCCCAAACACCAGUUGUGAAAUUGGAUCAAGGAUCCCCUCUCUUGAGAACCCCACUGAGCUGCGCCCUCCUCUCAGCACCGAGAGCCCAGGUGGGGCGAUGACAGGCAGGUGGCCACAGGGCUGACACACAAUGAGAGCCUACUGUGUGCCAGGUGCUGCCUCCAGCAACACCCCUGCUGGUCAGAGCUCUGGUUUUCAGAGCAUCCUGGCUAUCUUGCCUCCCCGCCCACCCUUCCACACCAGCCUCAUCUCACCUUGAUGACUUGGAUCUUCUCCAUGUUGCGAGUGGCAGCUUCUCUCGUGUGCACUAAGACUGUGAAGGUGCAGCCUAAAGAGGCAAGAGUUUGGUCAAGACUGGGCUACCCCAUGCCUGCCUCGGGACACAGCUUCCUCCCACCUCCCUAGCUGGCUCAGCAGCCCCACAGCACAGUGUUAACCAAGUACUAAGACAAGACAGUCAACAGGAAGACUGAAGCCAGUUGGAGUCAAUCAGGGAAGCUUCCUGGAGAGGGUGGGCUUUUGGAGCAGUUACAAAAGGCAGAAAGAAAGAGAGGAGACUUGGUGCAGACAAAUAGGGACCUGAGGACACAGACCAACACAAGUAGCCAUGGAAACACCCAGAGAAGAGGGGGUGGGGUGUGAGCAUACCAGGGGGGUUGUGGUCCAGGACAGCAUCACAUACACUGAUCUUCAGGAUGAAGGCCCGGAGCAGCUGCUCCACGUGAGACAGCAGGGAGUCUGAGCUGGGAAGGAGAGAGGAAGAGGGUCUCCCAGCACACGGGUGGCCCCCCUCCCACCAGCAGGCAGUCAACCCUGGAAGCAGCCCUCGGGUGCAGAGUCCCCUCCGCCUGGUAUUUUUGAGGGCUUGGCUACCUAUCUCUACACAGCUAAAGCAUCUGGGGAGUUUAAAACCAAUGCUAAGUACCAUCACAGACAAAUUAAGUCAGAAUGGUGGGCAAAGGGUGUAGGGAACCCCAGUAGGUGGUUGUAACGUGCAGCCGGGUCUGAGAACCAGGACACAGCCCAAACUUCAUACUCUAGGACACCAAGCUGGGAAGGGAGAGGGCUUGCCCAAGGCCACAUAGCAAGUGGGGACAGAUUCCAGUGCUCUGACCUCAUCACAGGAAGCCGGUAGCUGACCAGCCCAACACACCCGUCCAAAGUCAACUUCAAGUUGACUGUGGACUGGAUGCUUGACUGGGAAGUCAGGAACCGGGUCUGUGUCCUGGCUUUGCCACCAUUUGGGUGACCAGGUCAAGGUCAUCUCUCUGACCUUGGUUUCUCCAUCUACAAAAUGAGGUUGGGACUAGCCAUUUGCCAAUGCUGUGAUUUUCAAGGUUUGAUACAGGAGGGUCUCUUUGUAACCUGUGUGACGUUCACAGAGACUUGGGGGCGGCCGGCUGCAACUCCGCCACUAAUAGCCUUGUUAGGUCAGCACACCUUGCCAUGUCUCCUCUCAGACCUUUAGCAAGGCAGUUAGUGGCUACCGGAAAGGGGUGAGGGUCAGGGGUAUAGCUAGGGACCUCACACCAGCUGGCACAUGGACGGGGAGAGAGGCAGCUCACCUGAUGGACAGCAGCGGAGGCUGUGUGAUUUCAAAGACAAAUUUCUCCACUGGGCGGUGUUCUUUGUCCAAAAUUACCACCACUACCUUCUCCACAUCAUUCUGCAAGGACAGGAACCCCCCACUCCAGAACAGGACACCCCUCUACCACCACCACCACUCCCUCCCUACCCAGGGAAGGAUGGGAUAGGGGCAGUCGCAGCCCUGUUCAGCCUCUAGGCCCAGAGUUCCUCACAGCCCAGAAAGAGGUUUGAGAAGUUGAAGUAGGCACCCCCAGAAAUGAAUGGUACAGGCAGAGAGGAGAGGAUGCCUGGGCCCCGUGGGGAUACCAGGACAUCUCAGAGAGAAGAACAAGAUAGAAGGAAGAAGCACUGAGCGGCUAAGCUGAGACAGAACUUGGGGAUGGAGGAAGAGAGUGCCUGAGAAGAACCCAGAAUCCUCCAGGGCAGGCCCCACCUGGGGAGCCAAUUCCACUAUUGGGGUGGGGCUCCAGGCCAAGAUGCCCUGAAUGUGUCCCCAUGCCCUGGGCCCUGAGCAGGAGUGGUCUCUAAAGUGCAGGGGACAACAGGCUUCUGGGUGUUAGAGACAUAGGGACGCUGCAUGGUCCCAGCAUCACCCCAUCCUGGAGGAUGGGGGAGCACUGUGGGUGAUGUGGGCCAGGGGGUCCGGUGCCCUCACCUUCUCCAGGAGCGGCUUGACGCAGUGCAGCGUGUCCUGGAUAUACUGGUUCAGCUCCGGGUGACAGGACAUCUGCAUACAACCCCAUGACGGCUGGUGAGGCAGGAUGGGGAAACAACCCCACACUCCCUCCAGCAGCGCAAAGCCCCUUCUGCCUUUAGAGAAAGGCCCAUCAGUUCCCUCAGGCUCCCCACCCGGGACAGACUACCCAUCAUGAGGCCAAGAACUGGAUUAUCCCCAGAGGAAGAGAAGUUAGGAGAUCUUAAGAAUUCAGUCUCAACAUUAGCACUUCAUACAGCAUCAGGAGUUCAUUGAGCUCCUCCAGAGUCUAGAAGUCCCUAAAUUGUAUUUGGGCAAACAGGCAUUUUUCCAGAGAAGGGAUCCAGAAAUUUAAUCAAUUUUCAAACAUUAAGAAUCUGGAACUAAGAAGCUGUGUGCCCUCAGGCUUAACCUCUCUGAGCUUUACUUACUUCACCUGCUGAAGAUUUCAUUAAAAAGUAAGGAUUAAAUGCGAUAAGUACCUAGUACACAGUGGG